AUAGCGCACCGACCGGGAGGGUGAGAACCCUCGACAGGGUUCGACAAAAACGCCUGCGUUUUGGACCGCCAACGGCGGCCCGCAGGGUGAGCGCAGCGAAUCUAUCCCUCCCUCACCGCCA
rnacentral:sRNA from 1 species